AUGCAAUGAUGUGGACAUCUUCUCAGUCAUUCCUUAUAUCUCUCCCAUGCUUCAUACAAUGACUCUCCUUCCUAUUGUACAAAUGAUGUGAUUUCACCCCUUAAUUU